CUGGAAAACCCUUCUGAGCUGUCGAAUGAACGCAACAGUUCUCAAAUACUGACCUGUGAACCAAGUUUUCAUGCAUCCCUGGUGAGGUAUACACUGUAUGUUUUCUUUUAUCUAUCAAACAUCUUUUGUAGAAAUGAAAUUGAUGGAAUUGGAGGACAGAGAAUUCCACCUACAUGGAGCAAGCCGCCUCUUUCAUUGAUGCAGCAAAACAUCAAUAAAAUGGGCCCCCUGA